CUUUAUGUUAUUAUGAGUGUGUGCAUGUGCAUGUGUGUGUGUUAGAGAGAUACUUGUAUGCACACAGACACAUGCUGAGCAAGAUCACAAAAUUACGUAAA
rnacentral:miRNA from 14 species